UGGAGGGCAAGUCUGGUGCCAGCAGCCGCGGUAAUUCCAGCUCCAAUAGCGUAUAUUAAAGUUGUUGCAGUUAAAAAGCUCGUAGUUGAAUUUCGGGGUCAGUAGGCUGGUCGUGCCACGGGUAUGUACUGGUCUCACUGAUUCCUCCUUCCUGAUGAACCGUAAUGCCAUUAAUUUGGUGUUGCGGGGAAACUGGACUGUUACUUUGAAAAAAUUAGAGUGUUUAAAGCAGGCUAACGCUUGAAUACAUUAGCAUGGAAUAAUGAAAUAGGACGUUCGAUCCUAUUUUGUUGGUUUCUAGGAUUGACGUAAUGAUUAAUAGGGAUAGUUGGGGGCAUUAGUAUUCAAUUGUCAGAGGUGAAAUUCUUGGAUUUAUUGAAGACUAACUACUGCGAAAGCAUUUGCCAAGGAUGUUUUCAUUAAUCAAGAACGAAAGUUAGGGGAUCGAAGACGAUCAGAUACCGUCGUAGUCUUAACCAUAAACUAUGCCGACUAGGGAUCGGAUGAUGUUAAUUUUUUAAUGACUCAUUCGGCGCCUUACGGGAAACCAAAGUGUUUGGGUUC
rnacentral:rRNA from 1 species